rnacentral:tRNA from 1 species
AAUUCCCGCUUGGCCCUUAACCAAGAUCUGCAGCCUGAAAAACUGCCGUUAAACACUUUAACUACAGGAAC